GACGUAGGAGGCGAGCGUUAUCCGGAUUCACUGGGCGUAAAGCGCAUGUAGGCGGAUGUCUAAGUCGUGUGUUAAAGCCCCUGGCUCAACUGGGGGAGGUCAUGCGAGACUGGAUGACUUGAGGGAUGCAGAGGAGACUGGAAUUCCCGGUGUAGCGGUGAAAUGUGUAGAGAUCGGGAGGAACACCGGUGGCGAAGGCGGUGGUCUGGGCCGGAACUGACGCUGAGGAGCGAAAGCGUGGGGAGCGAACAGG
rnacentral:rRNA from 1 species